CCUACGGGAGGCAGCAGUGAGGAAUAUUGGUCAAUGGACGAGAGUCUGAACCAGCCAAGUAGCGUGAAGGAUGACUGCCCUAUGGGUUGUAAACUUCUUUUAUAAAGGAAUAAAACGAGGCACGCGUGCCUUUUUGCAUGUACUUUAUGAAUAAGGAUCGGCUAACUCCGUGCCAGCAGCCGCGGUAAUACGGAGGAUCCGAGCGUUAUCCGGAUUUAUUGGGUUUAAAGGGAGCGUAGAUGGGUUGUUAAGUCAGUUGUGAAAGUUUGCGGCUCAACCGUAAAAUUGCAAUUGAUACUGGCAGGCUGGAGUGCAGUUGAGGUAGGCGGAAUGCGUGGUGUAGCGGUGAAAUGCUUAGAUAUCACGAAGAACCCCGAUUGCGAAGGCAGCUUACUAAGCUGUGACUGACAUUGAUGCUCGAAAGUGUGGGUAUCAAACAGGAUUAGAUACCCCGGUAGUC
rnacentral:rRNA from 1 species